rnacentral:rRNA from 1 species
GACGAACGCUGGCGGCGUGCCUAAUACAUGCAAGUCGAGCGGAGUUAUUCCUUCGGGGAUGGCUUAGCGGCGGACGGGUGAGUAACACGUAGGCAACCUGCCUUUAAGCUCGGGAUAACAUUCGGAAACGGAUGCUAAUACCGGAUAUGCAGUUUCCCCGCAUGAGGGAACUGGGAAAGACGGCGCAAGCUGUCGCUUAGAGAUGGGCCUGCGGUGCAUUAGCUAGUUGGUGGGGUAACGGCUCACCAAGGCGACGAUGCAUAGCCGACCUGAGAGGGUGAUCGGCCACACUGGGACUGAGACACGGCCCAGACUCCUACGGGUGGCAG